AACGAACGCUGGCGGCGUGCCUAACACAUGCAAGUCGAACGAGAAGUACGUAGCAAUACGUAUUGUAAAGUGGCGCACGGGUGAGUAACACGUGGGUAAUCUGCCCUCGAGUUUGGGAUAACCCCGCGAAAGCGGGGCUAAUACCGAAUAAGACCACGGGGACCAAAGUCUCCGGGGUAAAAGGUGGCCUCUAUUUAUAAGCUACCACUUGAGGAUGAGCCCGCGGCCAAUUAGCUAGUUGGCAGGGUAACGGCCUACCAAGGCGAUGAUGGGUAGCUGGUCUGAGAGGACGAUCAGCCACACUGGAACUGAGACACGGUCCAGACUCCUACGGGAGGCAGCAGUGGGGAAUAUUGCGCAAUGGGCGAAAGCCUGACGCAGCAACGCCGCGUGGGGGAUGAAGGUUUUCGGAUUGUAAACCCCUUUCGACCGGAACGAAUCUCCUCCUGGUAAAUAAUCAGGAGGAUCGACGGUACCGGGAGAAGAAGCCACGGCUAACUCUGUGCCAGCAGCCGCGGUAAAAC
rnacentral:rRNA from 1 species